CUCUUGUGUGUCUCUGCCUUCCAUCCAUCUCCGCUUCAAUUCUGCUGCGCUCGCUCGCUACACCGCCCCCAUCCCAGUCGGUCGUCACAAAAAGUCUAGGCCGAUCGCCAAGGGGCCAUGGCCGGCACUGCAUCCGAGGCGAAUAAGGGUGAGAUGCACUCCGUACCUGUUGGCCUCGAGGCGAAUAAGGAAAGGAUGCAGCCCGUGGCCGGCGGUGUCAGCGUUGAUGAGGACAACGCUUGGAUGCAGUUCAUCUCCGACAGCGCCUGGUACACCAGCGCCUUCGGAUAACUCAUGGAUGCAGUUUACCUCUGACGUCGCCUGGUGCACCAGAGUCGCCGUGGACAAGGAUGAUUCCUUCCUGCAGUUCAUCUUCGACAACAGCUGGUACCGCAGCGCCGGCGACGGACAGGGAACGACAGAGAAAAGUAAAGAAUAGAAUCAAAAGACUCCCAUUCCAUCGUGUAUAGGUUGAUCCUUAAGUCAUAUAUGUUGUUGUGUUUUCUUUAUAUUUGAAUAAUAUUUUCUAGAGUCUUUUUUGUAUAUGAGUGAAUGUUGAGGUCUCUUAACCUCAAGAAAUGUUUUUCGACAGUGUUCUGACUAUGAAUAGAAAUUGAGAAUAUGCACUUGUUCUUUUAAUAAA